UUUUAUUAUCUGACUUUUGAUCUUUCUUCUCAAUCCCUCUUCCUCUAUCUUUUUCGUUCAAAGUACUUUUGAUCUUUCUUCUCAAUCCCUCUUGCUCUAUCUUUUUCUUUCAAAAUCAAUACCUGACAAUGCUUUACAACUUCAAAUUUCAAACUGCGAUUUACAAGUAUUAUACAUUUAAAUUUGUGUUAUCUUGGUACUAGGAUUUUGGAUUGAUAAUUUUUAUUUUCUUAGAGCUUGAUGAGUCUAAUCCUUUUUUGGAUCUAACUGAUAAAGUUCAUUUUGACACUCAAUUAUGUAUGAUGGGGAUUGCAUUUCAUCCAAAGUUCUUACAAAAUAGUCAUUUAUUUUCUUUCUUUAAUUGCGAUAAGAAAUCGUGGGCCGGAUGUGCACGAAGAUGCUCUUGUAACUCGGAUGUGGAUUGUGAUCCAUCAAAAAUACCUAAUUAUAGUGGUACCCGACCAUUCUAAUUUCAAAUAGUUAUAGCAGAAUUUACUGCCAAUGGUACAACAUCUCAGCCUUCAGAGGCAAAAGCUGCUAGUCCGAAAGAAGUUAGCAGAAUAUUCACCAUGGGCAUUCCUUUUACUGGUCAUCAUGGUGGUGAUGCAGAGAUAACCAAGCUUGGUUUAUGAGGAAACUGCAACAUUCCAAAGGAUAAUCCUUAUAUUGAAGAUAAAGAGCUGCAGCCCGAAAUAUGGGCACUAGGAAUGAGAAAUGCUUGGCACUACAAUUUUGAUUCUGUAAGGCCAUCCUACUUCAUAUGUGCAAUACAAGCCAGGUAAUGUUUAAGAAUUUUAUUCUCCAAGUAAUUCUAACUAGAUAUUAUUUUCUGUUCACUUUCAAGCCCCAUACAGAAUUUAUACCAAGAAUACAUAAAUUUCCUCACACCAUAAGUUCAUAGUUGUUCUGGCUGGAUGGGAUGUGAAUUGAGACAGAGAAUCUAAGUAUUAGAACAAACAAGUCUUUUAGUUGAUUACUGCUGCACAGAACUUAAGUGCCUCAGACAUAUAUUAUUGAUUCCCCUCAUCUUGUUCAAUAUCACAUAUGCAUGUUUAAAGUCAGAUAUACUAUGGGACCUUGCUCUACUCAUUGUAAUACCCCAUAUUUUUCCUAGCUUAAAAUUCGGCCCUAGAUUGCUUCAAAGAUGAAUAAAUUUUAUCCCAUCUAGUAUCUUUAAGAUUUCACUUUUUUGUCACAUGGAAAUUGAAUUAGCUUUCCAACGAUACCAAUUUCAUCAAAAUCCAAUGUUAGGGUAAAAAGUUAUGGUUAUUUUAUAGAAGCUGUUUGAGAUGCCCAGGAGCGUCAGGGCAGACUGACGGACCAUCGCAUAGGCGAUGGAUCAUCGCUCUAACUGUCGCUACUGAGGCAGUGGACCAGUAUUCUUCCCAAGAGAGAUGGUCAGGACCGACAAACCGUAGAGCUAGCGACGGACCGUCGAGCUAGCCAUCGCCGUCAAGGAAGUGAACACCUCUUCUAGUUUAGUGCGAUGGUUAGGACCGAUGGACCAUUGGACUAGUGAUGGAACGUCACCCAUAUCAUCGUAUUUUAAGUUCAGUGAAUUUAAAGCCGUUUUAAAAAGGGGUAUUUAGUAUUUUUGCCACAUUUUAAAUACCUAGUUAUAUCCAGCCAGAGCUCAUAACCUUAUUACUCUUUUAUAACAUCGAAUUAGGGUUUCUCUUAAUCAAGAACUAGAUUUUAAAUCCUUCUUCAAGAAAUUCAAGAGAAUCAAGAACAACUCUAGAAAUUCUCCAAGAACCUCCAAGGAUUAUUAUCCCUGGUAUGCAAAGUGUUCAUAUAUGGGCCCCUUUCGCCCAUGGAGUCUAAGAACCCUUUUCAAUAUACAAAGAUUGCAUUCCUUUUAUGAAUUCUCAUGAUUUUCUUGAAUUAAUAUCCAUGUUCAUGUUGUUUUUGGGUGUUGACCCACGUUUUGGAUUAUAAGUUUCAAGAAUUGAUUCUAGUAUGUGAUGAUUUAAAUGAUGUUCAUGAUAAACCUUUCAACUUUUAUGUUAAUUGAUUUAUCCAUGAUAAUUAGAUGUGUUGGUGGUUGUAUAACCAAAGUAUGCUCCCCAUGUGUGUAAUAAAAUGCUUAUGUAAAGAACCUAGUACCAUUAUAGUAUGAUAAUAUGAAAUCCCUAUCCAUGUACAAGUUAAUGCAUGCAAAGUGUUUGAUGGAAUGCCUUAGUAAAGGAAUUAUGUGUAUUUAGUCAUUGAUGAGCUUUCAAUCUUGUGCCAUGAUUUAAUUUUCCAUGCUAUCGAGUCCUGGGGGUAUUUAAUACCUAAAAACUUAGCUGUGUGCCUAGAGCAUGUGUCAUGUUUUCAAGAUAAUCUCAGUUAAUCCAUGUUCAGUAGAAUUCGUUCAGUCUCAUGACUCAAUAAAACUCAAUAUCAGUUUAGUCCUACUCAGUACUCAGUAAUCUUAGUAAUUCAGCAAUCUCAGUAGUUUCGUCAGUCAACGAAAAUUAAGUAAACUCAGUCCAAUUCAGUUUAGUAAUCGUGGUUUAGUGUCUAUUCAAAUGGGAGUAGGAUUUAGCACUGAGCAAACCUAGGGAUGGGAACUUACGUACUAGUUAAGGGUGUGAUUCUUAGAAGCAAUCUUUGUAUUCAAGAACUGCGUAGCCAGCGUAGGUUAAGACGUCAUAAACUGCUAGGUAAGGGUAGAUGAAGUGGAUUAACCUGAUAGCUGAGGGUUCUCACCAUUAUCAUUAGAGUACUUGCUAGAUGAGGGAUUUCUCAUAGCUGUCCUUACCCUGGCACGAUAUUGACAUCCUUUAAAUUGGGGUUAUAGAUUGGACCCAACUCAGCUAUAAUAGCUCAUUCAGGCCAUGUCGGUUAGAUAAAUUCUCCCACAAUUACAGUCUAAGUCUUAGUAAUAGAACUCAGAUAGUUCUAUAGAACUCAGGACUGUCAGAUACAGUCACUCAGUACAGUAUGGAACUUAGCUAGUUCCAUCAGAAUCUAGACUGUCAUAUACAGUCACUUAGAAUGAGUUAUACCAGAUAUCAAUAACUCAUGUUAUCAUUAUUUAGUCUCAGUAGUCAGUACAAUAUUACCAUGAAUUUAGCUACAGUUAUGUAUUUCAUGCAUGUACUCUCACAUUCAUAUUGGUCCGUCGGAUAGUAUUGUUCAAGCAUAUGACCCCAUGCAUUUAGCCUACCUCACUUGCAUACUUAGUACAUUUAGUCAUACUGAUGCAUUUAUGCUAUGGUGUUUUAUUAUGCCAUAGGUUUAGAAGCACAAGUCCCAGCUCCAGAGCAGCAGUAGUAUUCUAGUAUCAAUACUCACAAUCAUUGAAAAUGCCUCCUAAGAAGAAAACUAGAAAUCAGUCAGUCCCUCAGCUUUUCCAGGCAGAUCUUUUGGACAAGCACGUUUCUCAUGGCAGAAUUUAGAGCUGCAUUCACUACUCUUGCUAAUUCAGUUGCUGCUCAGAAUAAAUGUCCAGCUUUUGUUCCGGCUAACCUAGUGGCCAACUCUGCUGCAGCUAGAAUUCGGGACUUCAUCCGAAUGAAUCCUUCAUCUUUCACAGGGUCUAAGUAAGAUGAAGACCCUAAAAAAUUCCUAGAUCAAGCGCAGAAGGUCAUAAAUAUCAUGGGGGUAACUCCUAGUUAGAGUGCUGAGCUAGCUACAUAUCAGUUGCAUGAUGUGGCUCACACUUAGUUCAAGCAGUGGAAGUUAGAGAGGGUAGAUGAUGCAGGGUUAGUAGUGUGGGAGGAACUUGCCAAUGCUUUUCUUGAUAGGUUCUUUCCUCUAGAGUUGAGGGAAGCUAAGGUGUUAGAAUUUAUCAAUCACAGGCAGGGUAAUAUGACGGUGAAAGAGUAUUCUCUUAAGUUUACUUAAUUAGAUAGAUAUGCCCCUUAUGUAGUUGCAGAUAGUAGGUCUAAGAUGAGUAAGUUUGUCUCUGGGGUGAAUGAUAGUAUGGUCAAUGAGUGCAAGACCGCAAUGUUUAAUAGUGACAUGAACAUAGCUAGACUUAUAACCCAUGCUCAGUAGAUAAAAGAGCAGAGGUUAAGCAGAUAGAGAAGCAAAAUAAGAGAGCAAGGAUAGGUAGUUUCAACUUUGCUCAGCCUAAGUUAGAGGGUGGUAACAGUUCUCAAUUCCUACCAAAGUCAUCAGUCCAAGAACCUUAUUCAGCUAGUACCCCAGUGCCAAAAUUCAGAGACGACAAUAGAGAUAGAGCGCCAGGCUUUAAGUCUUAGGGCAGUGUUAGCAGUGCCUUAACCUAUCCCCUUCGUCAGACUUGUGGUAAGAACCAUAAGGGUACUUACAGAGUUGGCAGUGAUGUUUAUUUCGAAUGUGGCAAGCCAGGUAACAGAGUCAGAGAUUGUCCUCAGCCAAGUCCUCAGGGUUAGCAUAACCAUUCCUCAGCUCAGUUUGGUCUUUUAAAUCAGCAGGGUGUCGCCUCCAGUGCUACUAGUGGGCAAUGCCCAAACAGACUAUAAGCUCUCUAGUCUCGACAGGAUCAGGAAAAUUCUCCUGAUAUGGUUACUGGUAUGUUAUAAAUCUUCAUAUACAUGUUUAUUCUUUGCUAGAUCUAUGAGCUUCCUUAUCUUUUGUUACUCCCUAUAUAGCAGCCGAUCUCAGAAUUAGUCUCUAAAUUCUUACAGAGCCCUUCUCAUUAUAUAUCCUAGUGGGUAAAACCAUCAUAGACCAACUUGUCUACAGGAACUGACCGAUUAUGGUUUCUCAGAAAUUCACUCCAGCAGAUUUAGUUAAAUUAAAGAUGACUAAUUUUGAUGUCAUUCUUGGCAUUGAUUGUCUCUAUUCCUAUUAUGCCGCAGUCGAUUGCAGAAAUAGAAUUGUCUAGUUUCAGUUUCUGAAUAAACACAUCUUAGAGUGGAAGGGUAGUACUUCAGCUUUCAGAGGUCAUCUUGUUUCCUACCUGUGGGCACGAAAAAUGAUAUCUAAGGGGUGUAUCUAUCAUCUUGUUUGAGUUAAGGACACUAGCUCUGAAACUCCCAGUCUUGAAUUAGUCCCUGUUGUGAGUGAAUAUUCUGAUGUCUUUCCCAAAGAUCAUCCAGGAAUUCCUCCCAAAAAGAAAAUAGACUUCGACAUUGAUCAUCUUCCAAAUACUCGGCCCAUAUCUAUUUCGCCAUACACAAUGGCACCAACAAAACUCAAAGAACUAAAAAAUAGUUAAAGGAUCUCUUAGAUAAGGGAUUCAUUAGACCCAGUGUUUCCCCAUGGGGUGUACCAGUUUUAUUUAUUUGCAAGAAAGACGGGUCUCUCAGAAUGCGUAUAGACUACUGUCAACUCAAUAAAGUCACAAUCAAGAACAAGUAUCCUCUUCAUAGAAUCGAUGACUUGUUUGACCAACUGGAGGGUGCCAGUUACUUCUCCAAUAUAGACCUCAGAUCAGGCUAUCAUCAGCUCAAAGUCAGAGAAUGCGAUAUUCUAAAGAUAGCUUUUCUAACUCGGUAUGGUUACUUCAAAUUCUUAGUCAUGUCCUUUGGUCUUACCAAUGCUCUAGCAGACUUCAUGGACUUGAUAAAACAUGUGUUCAAGUAGUACUUAGAUAUGUUCAUCAUAGUCUUCAUAGAUAACAUCCUUGUCUAUUCUCGCAAUGAGCAUGAUCAUGCAGACCAUCUCAAAAUAGUGUUGCAGACUCUAAAAAAUAAUCAGUUGUUUGCCAAAUCUAGUAAGUGCGAAUUUGGGCUAAGGUCAGUAGUAUUCCUUGGUCAUAUAAUUUCUGGUGAUGGCAUUAAGUUGAUCCUCAAAAGACCAAAGCAGUAAGAAAUUGGACUAGACCCAUUUCUCCAUCUGAUAUCAAGAGUUCCUUAGGUUUGGCUGGCUAUUACAGAUGGUUUGUUAAAAGGUUUUCUUCCAUUGUGGCCCUUAUGUAUAGAUUGAAUCAGAAGAAAGUUUAGUUUCAGUGGUCAGAUUCAUGUGAGAAGAGUUUUCAGGAGUUGAAGACUCGACUCACCUCAGCCAUAGUUUUGACUCUUCCAGAUGUUUUAGAUGUGUUUGUCAUGUAUUGUGAUCCAUCUAGGGUAGGUCUAAGUUGUGUCCUCAUGCAGUAUGGUAAGGUCAUAGGCUAUGCCUCCGAAUAGCUUAAACACCAUAAGAAGAAUUAUCCUACCCAUGAUCUCGAGUUAGCAGCCGUAGUUUUUGCCUUAAAGAUUUGGAGGCAUUAUCUAUAUGGAGUGCAUGUGGAUUUCUUCAAACAUGAUAAAUACACAAACUAUUCAUCACCCCUGAAUAUAAAAUAUAAUUCUUGAGCUUGUUUUAGCAUUUUGGACUCCAAAUACACUGAAAAUAACAAAUCUAAAAAAUAGGCUUUGCAGGAGAAUCUUCUAAGAGAGUACAAAGCUGUGAAACUGAGUUUUGUUGAAUAAGGAUAUGCAAUACUUUCUUUGUAGUUUCUGCGUGGUGUUGUUGGAGGAGAUUUUAUAGGUUUUUGAGUUGUUCUUGAAGAUUUUGAGGUGAGUUUUCACUGAUUGGUUAUUGGUUAAAAGAGGUAGUAUUUGAAUGAAAGAACUUGCAGGUUAAUGGAGGGUUAACGGUAGUGGUAAGUUUGGUAAAACAAUGAAGUUUGUGCAUAUGGCUGUGUGAUGUGUGAAAUGUUUAUGCUUGUUUAAAGUUAUACUACAACUAUUAUUAAUCCAAGAAGUACAUAUAUUAGAUUGUAUAAAAGCAAAAUAAAGAUAAAUAUUUUGAGUAUUUGUUUCUUUUAUUUGAGUGGUUUUUAAUAUUUUUAGGGAUGUUUUUUAAUACUAUACAUUUUUGGUUUUAAUUUGUUUGUUCACCCCACUAUGUUGGUGGCAAGAUUUAAUGGCGAGUUCUAUUAGAGCAUGUUUCUCCCCUUGUGAAAAUUAUAUUAAUUUCUCUUGUGAUGCACCAGGUAAGCCAUUGCUUGGCAUAUUGAUGAAUUUAACUAAUGCGAUUAUGAUUUGGGUAAUUAGGAGUAAUAGAGAAAAAUGUAUCUUGUCCAGUACUUUUUUCUUUCUUUUUAAUUGAGAUGUUUUAUGUAAUUUUAUCUGUGGUUAGAACUUCACUUGUGUGAGCUUGCUUACAUUGUUGGUCCCAUACACGUAUAAAGGAGGGUUGUGGUAGCCCAUAGGUUGAAAGUCCGUGUAAGGCUUGCAAAUUCAUGACAAAUCCUCAUAAUACAAAUAAAGAAGUAGGGAUUCAUAUAAGUUGACCCCAAUUUAUUUGAGACAGAGGCGUAGUAGUUGGUAUUAAAGAAACUUUCUUUUGAAUUUCAUAUUUCUGAAAAUAUGACUUUCUACAAGGGAAUACUCCUAAAUAUAACAGGUAGCUAAUUCUUCUCAAAUAGAUGGAAGCAUAUUGGAAAAACACCAAAAUAUGAGAACAUAAAAUCUUUGGCACUUUAAUAUGUUGUAUGAGUUAUCUCUGUAGUCUACAUCAGUGUGUAAACUAUUUGCAAAGAACCUACCCAUUGCUUUUCUUUUUAUGCAUAAUUGUCUUCUUUUUUUUUUUGUAUUUUGUUCUUUGGUAUUUUCGUCCAAUUACCAUGAUUAUUUUCAAUUUGAUUUUGUUAUACAUCUCAAUUCAAGGUCUAACAUCAUCUGGGGGCAGUAACUCUAUGGGCAAAAUAACAAUGGAUUUUCAAGAGCGCUUGUAAAAGAAAGGUUCUUAGUUUCUUUAGUUGAGUUAACUUCAUGAUCAAGUAUCUUCAUUCCAGUCCACUUAGCAUUGAUAGUUGGACACGCUGAGUUUCCAUACUUGUUUUGAAGUCACUUUUUCCAUCUUUAACUACCUAAUGCUUUCAUAUCAUAUGUCAAGAUGGUAUAGUUGCUACAGUGACCAACUUGAUGAUUUCUGGUGUUAGAGGUUCGGUUGAGGUGUUGAACAACUUGAGUCAGCCAAUCAAUCAUUCAAGUAGUACAUGCUUCCAUUCAUGGUUCCUUUGUUUCUAAUAUUUUUUCUGGUUAGCAGUUCUUAUUCAAAUCUAUUGGUCUUUUAUUUUCCUUAGAAUUCAGUUCUAUGGUAAUUGUUAUGCAAAUAUUAAAAGCAACUGGCUGUUCAUUUAGAUUGUUGAAAAUGUCAAUCUACUUCCAAAUUUUCAGUUU